rnacentral:rRNA from 1 species
UCGAGCGAAUCUGAGGGAGCUUGCUCCCAAAGAUUAGCGGCGGACGGGUGAGUAACACGUGGGCAACCUGCCUGUAAGACUGGGAUAACUUCGGGAAACCGGAGCUAAUACCGGAUAAUCCUUUUCUACUCAUGUAGAAAAGCUGAAAGAUGGCUUCGGCUAUCACUUACAGAUGGGCCCGCGGCGCAUUAGCUAGUUGGUGAGGUAACGGCUCACCAAGGCGACGAUGCGUAGCCGACCUGAGAGGGUGAUCGGCCACACUGGGACUGAGACACGGCCCAGACUCCUACGGGAGGCAGCAGUAGGGAAUCUUCCGCAAUGGACGAAAGUCUGACGGAGCAACGCCGCGUGAGUGAUGAAGGUUUUCGGAUCGUAAAACUCUGUUGUUAGGGAAGAACAAGUACCGUUCGAAUAGGGCGGUACCUUGACGGUACCUAACCAGAAAGCCACGGCUAACUACGUGCCAGCAGCCGCGGUAAUACGUAGGUGGCAAGCGUUGUCCGGAAUUAUUGGGCGUAAAGCGCGCGCAGGUGGUUUCUUAAGUCUGAUGUGAAAGCCCCCGGCUCAACCGGGGAGGGUCAUUGGAAACUGGGAGACUUGAGUGCAGAAGAGGAAAGUGGAAUUCCAAGUGUAGCGGUGAAAUGCGUAGAGAUUUGGAGGAACACCAGUGGCGAAGGCGACUUUCUGGUCUGUAACUGACACUGAGGCGCGAAAGCGUGGGGAGCGAACAGGAUUAGAUACCCUGGUAGUCCACGCCGUAAACGAUGAGUGCUAAGUGUUAGAGGGUUUCCGCCCUUUAGUGCUGCAGCAAACGCAUUAAGCACUCCGCCUGGGGAGUACGGCCGCAAGGCUGAAACUCAAAGGAAUUGACGGGGGCCCGCACAAGCGGUGGAGCAUGUGGUUUAAUUCGAAGCAACGCGAAGAACCUUACCAGGUCUUGACAUCCUCUGACAAUCCUAGAGAUAGGACGUUCCCCUUCGGGGGACAGAGUGACAGGUGGUGCAUGGUUGUCGUCAGCUCGUGUCGUGAGAUGUUGGGUUAAGUCCCGCAACGAGCGCAACCCUUGAUCUUAGUUGCCAGCAUUCAGUUGGGCACUCUAAGGUGACUGCCGGUGACAAACCGGAGGAAGGUGGGGAUGACGUCAAAUCAUCAUGCCCCUUAUGACCUGGGCUACACACGUGCUACAAUGGAUGGUACAAAGGGCUGCAAGACCGCGAGGUUUAGCCAAUCCCAUAAAACCAUUCUCAGUUCGGAUUGCAGGCUGCAACUCGCCUGCAUGAAGCCGGAAUCGCUAGUAAUCGCGGAUCAGCAUGCCGCGGUGAAUACGUUCCCGGGCCUUGUACACACCGCCCGUCACACCACGAGAGUUUGUAACACCCGAAGUCGGUGGGGUAACCGCAAGGAGCCAGC